AUUGAACGCUGGCGGCAGGCCUAACACAUGCAAGUCGAACGGUAACAGGAAGCAGCUUGCUGCUUCGCUGACGAGUGGCGGACGGGUGAGUAAUGUCUGGGAAGCUGCCUGAUGGAGGGGGAUAACUACUGGAAACGGUAGCUAAUACCGCAUAAUGUCGCAAGACCAAAGAGGGGGACCUUCGGGCCUCUUGCCAUCGGAUGUGCCCAGAUGGGAUUAGCUUGUUGGUGGGGUAACGGCUCACCAAGGCGACGAUCCCUAGCUGGUCUGAGAGGAUGACCAGCCACACUGGGACUGAGACACGGUCCAGACUCCUACGGGAGGAAGCAGUGGGGAAUAUUGCACAAUGGGCGCAAGCCUGAUGCAGCCAUGCCGCGUGUAUGAAGAAGGCCUUCGGGUUGUAAAGUACUUUCAGCGGGGAGGAAGGGAGUAAAGUUAAUACCUUUGCUCAUUGACGUUACCCGCAGAAGAAGCACCGGCUAACUCCGUG
rnacentral:rRNA from 1 species